AGCACGACGUCGAGUUUCCUCAGCCCGUUAACCACAGCGCAUACUCGAUACUGUUUACAUCCAGUGAUAUUUAUAGCGGUGAAAGAGAGUAAUAUAAACUCAUUAUACUCACAAUACCAACAGUAUUUCACCCCUCUCUGAGUUCCUGAUUUCCUCGAGCUCCUGCUGGGCUGAACGUCACGUCACUCUUUAAUCCAGUCCGUGAAGUAAAACAAUACAGAUUUCGUUUUCAUAACAAAUCGCAGCUACGCAAUGGAGUGUUACACAAUGUCCUUCGCGUUGAAUUAACACGUUAUUUCAGGUAAAUAUUAAAACGCGGCUGGAUUAUGAAACGGAAAAGAUCUCGCUCGCACUCGCGCCAUUCGGAUGUGACGUCACGAAGUAAAGGACCGAAUCCUGGAUCGGCUCAAUUUCUUGAACCAUCAUGUAAGUGCAGCUCCUCUCCAGCCAGAUGAUAAAGAAGACAUCCACGGUCCGUAAAAUGGGGCAGCUGUGAUCAUUUCUGACAGCUCUGACGGCUAAUUGGGAAUUGCACAUCUGACAUCCAUGGGACAUGAUGGCAGGCACAGCUUGUUCUUUUGAUGUUCCGAAUCCUGACCCCAGUUGUCCUUCCAAGCGAGGAAAGGGUCCAGCAGUCAAGCUGCGCUGCUGAGACGGUGACCUCUGGUGUUUGUCCUCGGCACCCCGAUGAACUGCUUUCCUUCACUUCUUUUCGUUCAGCUCUUGUCCGAGAAGCCAGAUUUUUGGUGUAGAUAUUAAAACUUCUCUUUCUUCGCAGUAAUUAAAUUGAAGGAUGUUUCCAAAAAUGUUAAUUAGGAGCUUUUUGUUAUUGAAAUGUGAAGGAUGCACUUCUGUUCCGAAGGCCGACUAUUUAUGCAUCAGAACGGCAAAAGAAGUGCUAUUUUCCCGCUCCGAAUGUGACAGCUGAUUCGAGAAAACGACAAUACGCAAAUACGCCUCGCAGCCUAGGACUCAAAUUCUUGGCGCCGCCGAUGGAUUUCGAAGCUCUCACAUUCGAGCUUGCCUCUUUUCGGCUGGACACAUCUGGACAUGUGGGAGAUGAUCCAGUCGCCCUUGGUGAGCUGGACUCGCGCCAUUAUCCAGAGGGGAUUCCUUCCCCUCGCAGUGGGAAGCGCCUCUUACUUUAAUGAUGCGGUUGAAGAGCGGGCCAUGAAAUCUCAGGCAUGUCACAAAUACUUCUGGAUGAAAUUGAAAAGCACUUCAGUCUUGUGCAAUAGGACGCAAACAGGACAUCUAAAAAAAGCUACUGUUUAAUGAGAUGUUCAUGGAAAGUUCAGCUUCGCAUUUGAGAUCUGGGCUCCUUGGUGGACAAAUUUUGUCAUUUAUGAUUUUUGGUGCUUAAAGGCUGCUGUCGGUUGUCUAGAAAGCAUUAGGAUAUUAAAAGGAUAGUUCACCAAAAAUGUAAAUACUUACAUUAAUUUCUCAACCUCUUGACAUUCCAAACCUGUAUGACUUUGUUUCUUCUGCAGAACAUAAAAGAAGAUAUUUUGAAGAAGGUUGGAAACCAAACAACAUUAGGCCCCGUUGACUUUCAUUUUAUGGACACAAAACCACAAAGACAUUUCUCAAAAUAUCUUCUUUUGUGUUCCAAGGAAGAUGGUCAUAUUCAUAUUUUUAAUGACUUGAUGAUGAAUAUAUGAGGACAACAGUUUUACUUUUAAGUCAAUUACCCCUUUCAUAUGGAAAAAAAAAACAUAUACUGAAUUUUUUUACAUAAGCUGAAAAAUUGCUUUGCGUGAUAUUGUCUAAAUGAUAAUAUACUGUAACUUUGAAGAGUAAUUUUAUAAUUCUAUCAACCCCUUACUCCUUUUUAAACUGUAGUCUAUUAUAGUAACUUAGAUGUUGUAUACAUUUCAUCCCCCACAGGCUUAAUGAUACAUCAACCUGUGAAUUUUCUCCCACACGUACGGUCUCAUUCAUGUUUAGGUGUAAAAAAUAUCCAGGCUCCUGCCGUACGUGCUUAUAAAAAUUUCCCUCGAGGUCCGGUUGUCAGCUGCAUGGGCGGUAAUGACGAUAAUCAGGGUCAGAGAUGCCAAAAUGAAAAAAAAAAUAGCUCGAUGGCAUAUUCUGUCAGGAGGAAUUAACACUCUACGAAGUCUUAUCAGUGCUGUGCCCUUUGAGCGCACGACUGAAAGUGACGAAGCAGGAGGGUUUCUCGGGCUUAUGUCUAAGUUAGUUCACGUGCACGGAUACAUAUUUUACAAGUACCUCAUAUUCUCUAUAACUUGCAAAUGCAUUCUUAGAUGUCUACUUCAUUACUUCAAGAGACGUUCCCUCGUGAUACUUAUGCGAUAUUAAACCAAGCAACAUUCUUGUGGAAAAUGUCUGUGAUCAUUUCAG